AAAAAGAUCAUCGUCUAGUGGCAGACGGGUGAGUAACACGUGGUAACCUACCUUCAAGCUGGGGAUAACGUUUGGAAACGAACGCUAAUACCGAAUAAGAUAUAGCAAUAUAUUGAAAGAAGCCUUUAAAGCUUCACUUAAAGAUGGGCCUGCGGCGUAUUAACUAGUUGGUGAGGUAAUGGCUCACCAAGGUAACGAUGCGUAGCCGAACUGAGAGGUUGAACGGCCACACUGGGACUGAGACACGGCCCAGACUCCUACGGGAGACAGCAGUUAGGAAUAUUCGUCAAUGGGGGAAACCCUGAACGAGCAAUGCCGCGUGAGUGAUGAAGGCCCUAUGGGUUGUAAAACUCUGUUGUAUGGGAAGAACGGCCAUAUUAGGAAAUGGAUAUGGAGUGACGGUACCAUACCAGAAAGCUCCGGCUAACUACGUG
rnacentral:rRNA from 1 species